rnacentral:rRNA from 1 species
GACGAACGCUGGCGGCGUGCCUAACACAUGCAAGUGGAGCGACGAACCAGGCUUCGGCCUGGGGCAAAGCCGCGAACGGGUGAGUAACACGUGGGUAACCUACCCCGAUGAUUGGGACAACCCGAGGAAACUCGGGCUAAUACCGAAUGUGCCCUUCAGCCACACGGCUGUUGGGGAAAGGAAGCUUCGGCCUCCGCAUCGGGAUGGGCCCGCGGCCCAUUAGCUUGUUGGUGAGGUAACGGCUCACCAAGGCGACGAUGGGUAGCUGGUCUGAGAGGACGAUCAGCCACACUGGGACUGAGACACGGCCCAGACUCCUACGGGAGGCAGCAGUGGGGAAUCUUGCGCAAUGCGCGAAAGCGUGACGCAGCAACGCCGCGUGGGGGAAGAAGGCCUUCGGGUUGUAAACCCCUUUCAGUUGGGACGAAGCUUCGUCGGUGAACAGCCGACCGGAGUGACGGUACCUUCAGAAGAAGCCCCGGCUAACUACGUGCCAGCAGCCGCAGUAAAAC